rnacentral:snRNA from 1 species
AGAUUGAUCUGCCUGUGACAACUGUCACUCUGCUGAUCACCAGUGUUGAUUUGGCAGAUAUGCUUGGCUAGAAAAAUGUACCCCUUCCUCCUUCAUCAUUCAAUGUACCUCCCUCCUGAACUCACUCACUCCACGGAAGAUGAUGACUUUCUCAGACAGAAGAGGAUUGCUCUUUAGCUGUG